GAGUCCCAGCCCAGUGUGAGAAAGCCUUAGACACAGACAUGUUCUCCACCACAUUCUGACCCCACGUGGUUUUCACUUUAAUUCUCCUAAAGCCCCGCCCUUGGUCCUCCUUUUCCAGGUAUCCCAUCCGUCUGUCCAGUUUUCUGCCCAUCCAUCUGUCUCUCCUCCGAGUUCAGUCUCUCUUGUUCACCUAUCUCUCUCUCUUGGGCUGCUCUCAUCCACAGGCUUGCUCAUCCCUCUACUCACACAGUCACCCCUCCCCUCACUCUCAUUUAUGCUUCACCUGUGAAUGGUGGUCCUGGGACAGCCACUGCUGGAGCCCGGGUGAGCCUGGGGGCUCCUCCCACUCUGUCCCUCCCUGAUGACAGCCCUCGCCACAGCUCCCGAGCCGGCCACCACGUCCCUGCAUACUUCAUCAUCACCUGUGCCACCAGAAGCCACCACAGCUUUGGGGCACAACCUGAAGUCCCUCACAGUCACCUUCCCCAUCUCCACCCUCAAGUAUUCAUCAGACAGGAGCAACGGCUCAGCCACGUUCAACUCCACUGAGAGGGUCCUGCAGAGCCUGGCCUGAAAAGGAUGGGGAAGCCAGCAGUGUGGACGCUGUCUGCACCUACCAUCCUGACCCCGUGGGCCACCAUGCCUCUGUGCUGGGAACGGAGAGUCUCCACCUGUCUGCUCUUCCUCUCGGUGGCUCCAGGCUCUGCAGCACAGAGUUUAUCCAUCCAGAGAGAGCACCAGCUACAUUUCCACAUCAUCAGCUGGAACCUCAGCAAC